UGGAAAAUUUUAAAUUACAUAUGUGGCUUACAUUUGUGGCUUACUUUCUAUUUCUAUUGGAAAGGGCUAGUCCAGAGAGCUUUACAUAACAGACUGAAGAGUUUAAACCCUCUAGGCAAUGAAACACCACUGACAGUUUUCAAACUGAAGUGUUUGGUAGAUUUGGGAAAGAGCAGAAAACAUAAAGCACUGUUUCAAGAUCAGCGUGGGGGCAAUCUGUAGGGGUGAAACACUAGAGGCAGUUGUCAAUGUCAAAAGGCUGUAAAUGUCAAAGGGUAAGCAGGCAGCUGAGCUGGAAAGUAUACAAGGUCUCUGGAAGUGUCAUGCUGGGCAGAGAAAGGAGAAAGCAAGCAAGAUCAGGUUGAGACACAGGAAGAAUCACAGGUGUAAGCACUGAUCCCAAUCUGGAUAACCAAGGUGCAACUCUUGCAUGAUAUAGCAAGCUCAGCAUAGUUUAGGUUUAAUCUAGGCUGGCUUAGCCGUAAGGGCUCACCGGUAAUUCAGAAGAGAACAGCACUGAGUCCUUUUCAGCAAUUUCAGAUCUAUCUCUCUGAGGCAAGACCUACAACAGUGAGAUCAAAUACCACAGAAGAUCAGGAGAAGGUGUGUGGCUCUUGGAGGUCCUUUUUCUAAUCCCCAGAAGAAGAAUAAUGCCAACCCUGUAGACAUGAGGACAAGCCAGUCUGAUCUGUGUUCUGGUUACCAUCGAAUGAGCCUAAGUGGAGGAACAUGUACCUCUCCCACUACCUAUCCACAGCAAUACCUCACACCCUCGAGGUGCAACACUGCUACAAGCUCUGCUCUUCAACCAUUUACACACUACCAAAAGUUCAUCUACAGUUUGAAAACCAAGAUCACCUAUGCUUCUCCAAAUCAAUUACAAACGUAUACUACAGAAAUCUCCCAGAAAGGAGAAAUAACGGCAAUUAUUAAACUUACAGAAAAUGCUGAAAUGUGUGAUUUCUAUACAUCUUCUAUAUACUUAAGUGCUGAAGGGACACCAAUGAUGUUUUAUUCAUUGACUCGUAUUUGUUUUAUUCACGGUGAGUCAAAAAUAACAAAAUAGCUAAAAGAUAACAAGAGAAAACAAGGGUCUAAAUGUCCCAGACUGGUAACCUUUGCCCAAAGAAUUAAGGAUGGGCUGGUCCUUGUGGUUUGGACGAGAUGUAGCUGUUUCCUGGGUGUCGUUAACCACCGUAGUGUAUUUGCAGGAUCCAGUUUUUGGCCACUAUGGGCUUAUAAACUCGCUAAUUGAAUCUAAAGGGCAUCAGAUCCGGGGAAGGUGGCAAACACUCCCCGGCAGUUUCAAGCGCUGUCAUUCCUCCAACCCCUCGCUUCUUCUUCCAAAGUCAGAACUGCCUCUCCCUGGGGCCACACCCGCAGCGAUCCGAGGAGGAGCGUGGAGACCCGGGCCAGUUCGGCUGGGGAAUGAAUGCAUUCGCCCCAUCACGCAGGUCUUGCACCGCAGGCAGAGGCGCAAGGCUUCCAGGCCUGAAGUUAGGUCCCAGGCGCCGCCAAGCAGAGGCGGACGCCACCCCGCGGGCCUCAUCUCUGCGCCGCUACGCCUGGGCCCCCAGGCCCCCAGGGUCCCCCCCAACACCCGGAAGCCCGCCCGGCUCACACCUGCCGGCGCGUGACGCGAGAGU